CUGAACACAGGUGCUGCAUGGCUGUCGUCAGCUCGUGUCGUGAGAUGUUGGUUAAGUCCCGCAACGAGCGCAACCCCUAUCUUUAAUUGCCAUCAUUCAGUUUGGGCACUUUAGAGAGACUGCCGGUGUUAAGCCGGAGGAAGGUGGGGAUGACGUCAAGUCCUCAUGGCCUUUAUGUCUAGGGCUACACACGUGCUACAAUGGGUGGUACAAAGAGCAGCUAACUCGCGAGAGUAUGCAAAUCGCAGAAAGCCGGCCUUAGUUCGGAUUGGAGUCUGAAACUCGACUCCAUGAAGGUGGAAUCGCUAGUAAUCGCGCAUCAGCAUGGCGCGGUGAAUACGUUCCCGGGCCUU
rnacentral:rRNA from 1 species